AUGGAGGCCCAGGCUCUCGCAGCCUCUGCGGUGUCCGGUGCUCCGGCGAGGUCUCUGGGGACCACAUGGCGGGGAACUGGCGCGGCUUCCGGUCGUGGGUUCCGGUGGCUCAAAGCCGUACAUCUGAGCCGCCGCCUCCAGCUCGUUUAUUCCAUAUUCCGCCUAGGGCUUCACCGCCAUCGCAGAUCCCGCGUUCGUCUGCUACGGGUCCUCCGUGUUCGUGGCUGCUGUGUCGACACCGAGAGAAUUUCUUCAUCCGUCAGGUAUUACUCCCAACACAUGCUUCUUUUGUUUUGGGGGUCGAUCGAGUUUCCGUUGUUGGCUGCCAAUUUCACGAGCGUUAUCACCAUGCUGGUGCUACUUUCGUGUUGGUUAUGCUAG
rnacentral:rRNA from 1 species